CGUUCAARGGUAACCUGCGUAACUCGAAUGAACGAACGGGAGAUUCAUCGUCAUUCGGCGGGCGGCUAUGCCGUUGCGCGAUGGGUAGCCCUCCGGCGAUCUCGGUCGUCGGUGCGAGUUGCUCACGCGCGCGGUGUACGCAUCACGUUCGUCGACUUCGUGCACUUCUCCUUAGUACUGCAUCGCGACCCACUCGAUGCCGGCCGGCUGUCGGGUGGUAGUUGACACGAAACACGCACGCGCUCGUCGCGUCCGGCCCGACGCAAGGUCGUCGCGACGCCGCUGUGUUGCCAUUAAUGUGCGGACAGUGUGCGUCCGGCGCCUGCUCGAUCGCCGCCGUGCCGUCUCGGACGUGCGUGUAUCUAGUCUGCGAUGUUUUUGUUUCGGGCACUCGCAGGACCCGUCUUGAACACGGACCAAGGAGUCUAGCAUGUGUGCAAGUCACUAGGUGUUAAACUAACCGAAAGGCAUAACGAAAGUGAAGGCGUGCGCUGUCGCGCGCUUGGGAGGAUGGCGGUGUGCUCUCGUGGCCGCCGCCCGCACUCCGAGGCGUCCGUUCGCAAUCUGUCGAUGUGGGCGCGCUCAGAGCACAAAUGCUGGGACCCGAAAGAUGGUGAACUAUGCCUGGUCAGGUCGAAGUCAGGGGAAACCCUGAUGAGGACCGUAGCGAUUCUGACGUGCAA
rnacentral:rRNA from 1 species